GAUGAACGCUGGCGGCGUGCCUAAUACAUGCAAGUCGAGCGAACAGACAAGGAGCUUGCUCCUCUGACGUUAGCGGCGGACGGGUGAGUAACACGUGGAUAACCUACCUAUAAGACUGGGAUAACUUCGGGAAACCGGAGCUAAUACCGGAUAAUAUAUUGAACCGCAUGGUUCAAUAGUGAAAGACGGUUUUGCUGUCACUUAUAGAUGGAUCCGCGCCGCAUUAGCUAGUUGGUAAGGUAACGGCUUACCAAGGCAACGAUGCGUAGCCGACCUGAGAGGGUGAUCGGCCACACUGGAACUGAGACACGGUCCAGACUACUACGGGAGGCAGCAGUAGGGAAUCUUCCGCAAUGGGCGAAAGCUUGACGGAGCAACGCCGCGUGAGUGAUGAAGGUCUUCGGAUCGUAAAACUCUGUUAUUAGGGAAGAACAAAUGUGUAAGUAAAUAUGCACGUCUUGACGGUACCUAAUCAGAAAGCCACGGCUAACUACGUG
rnacentral:rRNA from 1 species